CCAGCUGUGAGUGUAGGAAACUACUUAUCCCUAAGAUGGUAACAAGACAAACUGGCUCCCUUUUUUUUUCUUGCAGGAUUAUCUAGCCUCAUCAAUCACAUCUCAUACUUGUAAACGAAUUAAUGGUUUUCCAUGUCAACUGAGUUUUUGUUGCCCAAGUUCAGUGGUGAUCACAAAGAACCAACGGAAAAGUUUGCACACAUAAACACUGGGCACCUUGGAAACAAAACAGAGGAACCUGACCUGCUUGUGCAGGAUGUGAAACCAGAUACUCCAGGGAGGGCAGAGACAUGGUGGAGCAGCUACAGUCACUAGAACACACAUAUUCAAGGGUAGGCAUUGCUCAGAAAUGGAGGUAUAAUCAAAGUGACAUUCAUGGCUGCCAAUGAAUUCCUGAGAGUGGAAGGAGCAAGAGAUGUUGUAGUUAAUAGAAAGUUCAUUUUGGUCCAAAUAGUUUGGGGGAAGGAAGUAAAAUCUGUGUUGGAACAGUGCUGAGAACUGGUUAAAGCACUUCCUUUCCUCUCUCAGCCAUCACAUAACUAAACCUGCAGCCUUAAAGCUUCCUUAGCCACCAUGCUAUUUCCUUUCUCUUUUCUUGCUGCUUCAUGAAUCUCCACCCAAACUCAUCUUCUCAGGACUCUAACAGGAUUUCUCUAUGCCUUUCACUGGCUGGACUGAGCAACCUCUCAUUACAGUCUGCAGAUUUUAAAUAAUGCAUUGCCAGAUGUUUCUGUAACCUGGUUGGCUGCUGUUAGAGAUGGAGGGGCCAAGUGGGAAUUCUCAGUGCUGGUGUCAACUGGAGGUUGGCGUCACUCGCUAUUGCACAGCCGUGCCCUUUCGUGAGAAGUCAGUCGGCUUCACUGACAGCUGAUCUGGAGCCAAGACACCAAAAGUCACAGGAGGGAAAGCACAGAGUGACUAUGCAGCUCAUCAGACAGCACAAAUAGUCAGCAGUAUCAAGAAGUAUUGAGCCAGUUCUGGAGAUGAUCUGUAUCAGUCCAAGACUCCUUCCUGCAGCCAAACCAUCCAUCUCUGCUAGGUGGAAAGACAGCCUGGACACGCAGUGCUCAGACAGGCUUCUACAUACUCACACCCACAAGCAGGUUCCUUUACUUGGAGUUGAAUCCCACUCCCAGUUUACCAGAGCACCUCCAGACCAUGAUCCAUCUACAACCUUCAAGGAUGCACCAAAGCACAGUUAG
rnacentral:lncRNA from 13 species